AAUAUAUAAAAGUGGUGUAAAAAAGUAAAAUAGUUAACAGUUUUCCAAUAACUUUAAUAACGGAAUAAAGUCAUUCGUUCGUGAAAAAAAAUGAAAUUUAUUAAUUUGUUCCUUAUAGUCGCUUGCAUUGUUGCCAGUGCAAUGGCUACUCCAGACAAUUUUAAUGCGCAAGGUGUUUCUAACUCCGGUUAUUUUUCUCAAGGUGGAAAGAAGUGAUUUAAUUUAUUUCAUUAAAAUGUUAUAAAUAAAAGAACAAAUUUUAAAAAGUUCAUUCAAUAUAA